UGGCAUGAUGCAAAAUCGUUCCUUCUGUUUCCAUGCCGUCUCGUGCUCUUUUUUUUUCCUGCUCCAUCAGUUCAACGGCUGCCUGUGGAACAUCAGCAAAGCUCACUGCUGCGGGGUGCAGGACCUGGCAGACUGCAGCUGCUCAAUAAACAUUUUUCAGUGAGUGAGAGAGGAGACAGUCCUCCUUCUGGAGACCAGUGAAGAGAAGGCAAAGGGGCAAACCACGGCAGGAUCUGUGGGAGGCGCUGUGGUGGGGAACGGCAGCAGGCCCAAAGGGGAGACAGGACCAGUUGUCCAGAGGAGGUGACAGAAGCUGGGCAUUGAAGGUGCUGUAGGAGUUUGCCCAGAGGGCAAGAGGGGAAGGACGUUCAGCAAGAGGAAAGCACUGAUCAAUGCCUGAGAAACCCCAGCAAGUUCCUCCAAGGAAAGGCGGUUGUUUCCAGCCUGUGAUUCUGCACCGAGGCCACCAGCCCGUCCUGAGGGGCCAGCACAUGAACGGCCACUGUCAUGAAGCUGGAGCUGAUGAGGGGCACAUCCAGUAACAGCAAAGGAGAAAACAGGAUGCCUUGUCUUUCUAAAGGACACUUCCCAUCCCCACGGGCCUCAGACUGCCGUCUUCGCUGGCUCCUGCUGCCCAGGAAAACCCCCUUGCAUGCCAGAGGCUUGGGGGCAUAUCAUCUCAUAGAGAAAGAGAAACUCCUACAGGGUUUCCAUCAAUCAUCAAGAAGCUAUUUUAGUUUAUCUACUAUGAAAGCCUGUGGGGUCUCACCCCUUCUGGAUUGCUGAAGAAGGUUGUUCUGAACACGCCGGGAAGUGAGAGAGAGUGAAUAAGCAGGAGAACAUCAGGAUCUCCAGACUUUUAGACAAGGAGGCCCCAGGGCACAAAAAAUAGACUGCAUAAGACCUAGUAUUUGCUAGCACAACAGGGUGACUCCCCUCAAAAAUAAUUGAAUUGUACAUUUAAAAAUCACUAAAAAGUAAAACUGGAUUGUUUGCAACACAAAUGAUAAAUGCUUGAAGGAACAGAUACUCCACUGACUCUGCUGUGAUUAUUAUGCACUGCACAUCUAUAUCAAAAUGUCUUGUAAAACC
rnacentral:lncRNA from 1 species